CCUACGGGAGGCAGCAGUGAGGAAUAUUGGUCAAUGGUCGGGAGACUGAACCAGCCAAGCCGCGUGAGGGAUGAAGGUACAGAGUAUCGUAAACCUCUUUUGUCAGGGAACAAAGGCGGGGACGUGUCCCCGGAUGAGUGUACCUGAAGAAAAAGCAUCGGCUAAAUCCGCGCCAGCAGCCGCGGUAAUACGGAGGAACCGAGCGUUAUCCGGAUUUAGUGGGUUUAACGGGUGCGCGGGCGGUCUGUAAAGUCAUCGGUCAAAGCCCGGGGAUCAACCCCGGGCCGCCGUUGAAACUGGCAGUCUCGAGUUGGUGAGAAGUAUGCGGAAUGCGCGGUGUAGCGGUGAAAUGCAUAGAUAUCGCGCAGAACUCCGAUUGCGAAGGCAGCAUGCCGGCUCCACACUGACGCUGAGGCACGAAAGCGUGGGUAUCGAACAGGAUUAGAUACCCCUGUAGUC
rnacentral:rRNA from 1 species